AAAUAAAAUAAGAAUUUUUUUUGUGGGUAUUGUGUACCCAGAACUAGUCAAAGGUUUUUAAAACCUUUUUUUUAAAACUUUUUGUGUGUUCAUUUAUUAUAAGUACCUUUUUUUUUUCAUUUAUUUAUUUGUUGCAUUUAAUACUAGAAUACUUUUUUUCUUUAUGAAUAUUCUGAUGUUAUAUAAUUCUAAAUCAGUAGCAAUAGAUGUGAUUGCAGGAACUCUUUUUAUCACAUUAUAGUUUACAUUCAUGAACAGAACUAUUUAUAUAUUACACUUGUUAUUUCAAAGUUGUAGUGCUCUUUUAACUUUUGUGCAAGUCUUUUGUUUUAUCAAAAGAGCAAAAUACUAUUUACUACCAUAAGAUAAUAUAUUUCCUUAUUUUUGUUUUCUUUAGCGUUAAAACUGAUGGAGCUUUUUUUCCCAUUUUUGAAAUAGAAUGUUGUUUAUAAAUAAACACAAUUAUUUUUUUUUUUAAUGUUACUAGGCGGAAUCCACAAUUCGGUUUUCUAUAGGAUGACAUACUAUUGUAUGCAAAACCUGAUAACAAAAAAAAAAUCAUACAAUACUUUGGAACUAUUGCUACUGGUGAGGAUUGUCAAAUGUGAGAAGCUUUUUAAAACAAAAAAUGAGUUAUGUCUUGGUUUUAUCUCUCUCAUUCUCUCUCUCUCUCUCUCUUGAAAAAAAAUGAAGGUAAUUCUAAUCCUGAAAAUGUCAUAAACAUGCAUUUUAGAUUUGAAUCAAUAUUUGUCUUAGUUUAAUUCAUCUACAGAGAUGUUCUAAGUUUCCUCCAGUGCCAAGAACACUCUUGCUCUAGCUCUACAAGUACAGAGAAUGUCCCUUAGUCAUUAGUCCCUCAGUCUCAGCUUCCCUCUGGUCUAGCACAAUGGGUAUUUACAUUGUCUCAAGUCCCAAUGCCAUUCUAAAUGUAACUGGUGACAAGUAUUUUGUUGACUGUGUCCUAAGAGAUUCUCUCUUGAUAUUAUACACAGAAUACUGUGUGCUAAAUAAAUUAUUGAUUGUCUACAUGAUUCUAUGUAUUCAUGUGUGAGUAUUAGGUAUUUUAUUUUGAUGUGUUUAU